rnacentral:sRNA from 1 species
GUGUGUGUGUGUGUAUUACCAUUGUCCAAUAUUUAUUUUAUUAUUUAUUUUUAAGAAACUUUUAUUUUUGAAAAUCUCACACAUGUAUACCAAGUAUCUUAAUCUCACCCCAACUCUUUCCCCAGAAUAUUUUAUUUUUUAUUUCUUUCCCAAGGCUAACCCUUCUGUUCACUGUCCUCAGAAGAGCACUUUAGCUGCAUAUCUCCCUCUGUCUCAUGAUUUGAUGAGCCUUAAAGGUUUUCUCCAGUGCAUACCAUUUCAUUUUACACAGGGUUUUGUUAGGGUUUUUUUUAAGUUUCUAGACAUGUACCUCUAAAUUUUUUCAUAUUAUUGGUCUCACAUUAUUGCUUAUAGUCAGAGGCAUUUGAUCUCUUCAGAUCAAAUACAUCAUUUACAUAGAAAUGAUUCUUUCAUAGAUUUGACUCUUUGGGAUUUAUCAUGGCUUCCCCUCUGUUAUGUAGCAAUGUGUAUAAAUGCUUCAGAUGUGCAUGAGAAAGAAGUACACUUUCUUUCCAAGAUAACGGAUGCUAAUAGGUAAGCUGAAUCCAUGGAUGGUGGCACGCACCUGUAGUCCAGCACAAGCUGCGGAGGCAGGAGGAUUAUCAUCCUACUCUACACAGUGAGUUCCAGGUCAGCCAUGGCUAUACAGAGUCUGUCUCAAAAACCAGCCAACAAACAAAAGUGCUGUGUUCAUGGGCUCGAGUUCUUAAUGCUGUCAUUGAAGUCUUCCUUAUAUUGUUUUCUUCUUUGAAUGAAAGUUGACCUUUGAGACUUAAAAUCUCAUAAUCUAAGAGUUUACUGUCAGAGAAAACAUUGGCUGUGGGCUGAGCAGUGGAGGAGGAAGUUGAAUUAUUUUCUGUUGGUUUUUAUCCUCUUAAUCCAAUUUGAGUCUGCAACACUGAGAGCUCACCAAGUCGAGGUAUGUGUUCUAUGGUUUUUGUUUUGGAAGGAGGAGAUUUGAAGGAGAUGGACUGAAUGUCUCCAUGGGGGGUGUUUAAGUGGAUAUAUAUAAUAUGUUGUGUGUGUGUGUGUGUGUGUGUGUGUGUGUGUGUGUGUGUGUGUGGCAAUCAGAGGACAGUUUGGGAAGUCUUCUGUCUGCCUUCCAUUUCACUUUAGGAAUGCAGGAUUACAGAUGUGUCUUAUUCAUGGAGGUUCUAGGGUUUGAACUCUGGUCAUCAGGCUUCAGAGACAAGCACUUUUAUUUGGCUUAUCCAUCUCACUGGCUCCGCCAAGAAAGUGUUCACAAGUUGCUUGGAUGUAAAACUUGUGACUAACGCACAGUCCAGCGAGAGACAGUAAUACAUAGGUAUGUGUGAGCAUAUGUAUAGGGAAGUUUGUGUGCCUUCCAUGAGCUAGAACAGGCGGGCACCACACAGCACUGCAUGGAGACGCCAGCAGACAGUUGAGGAAAGGGGAGAGAACCCCUCAUGUCACCUCUGAAGCCUUGAAGGGUAAGAAAGCUCUAGACUGUGGGUGGCUGGAAUGGGUAGUUCAUCGUCCAUCUAAUUUGCUCUUUGCUUUUGUGUUUACUAAUCUCAAAUUCACCAGAGAGGCAGAUGUAUGUGCCAUCCACAUCAGCAGGUGGCUGUGCCUGAAGCUCGUUUUGUUUUUUUAAUGCCCAGAAAUACUCCUGAGACUCAUACACAGAUUUUGAGAGUUUGACUUGGUCAAAGAAGAAACCAUGUAAUCAAGCAGGAGGAAGGCCCAGGGCCAUUGUCUUGUGGCUCUUACAGGUUAAUAUGGUUUAAUGGAAGUUGGUGGUUCUUUAAAUGUUAUCUCCAUGUCGUAUGUAUUUAGAAUAAAUGUAUAUACCCAUAUAAUUUCUUCAUGGUUGUGUGCAGGUGCAUUAACCUGCAUUGGCUAUUGGACAGCACACCAGUCACAUAGUAUAACAAUGAAACAAAGUGGUAACAAUCCACGGCCUGAAAGAAGGAACGCUUUGGAAGAUGCUAGGUAUUCACCCACGAGCUCUGUCUUAUCAGGCUCCAUUUGCUUAACAGGGAAGUAUCCAAACAUUUAAGUAUGCAAAUGCGUACAGCCAAAUGAGACAUCAUUUAAUUCUUUUAUUGUCUUACAGUGAAAGAGAGCAAAUGAGCAAGUGGAUGGUUUCCUGCCAAUUACUUUCAGUUCGUUGUCUUUUAUGCUAAGAGACUCUGCAAACACUGCUCUGCAUCCAGCAGACGCCUGGUCACACUGAGGCAUCGAGCACGGACCCCUCCCUUCAGCAAACCCCAGUGCUCUGUAAGGAAACGAUCUGGGGACAUCCCUUCAAAUUCAGAGAGCUGCUGUUCUUGAGGUGAACCCAUGACAUAUCCAGCCCAUUUAAAAGUGCUUUUCCCAUACUAGAGGAGGGAGGGUUAAGUAUCAAUUUCCUGAGUUUGAAGCUCUUCAAGAAUUAAUGAUCUUCAUUUCUUUUCUUUUACCGAAAGCACAGUACUGCUUAAAACCAUGAGCAAAAUGCUGACCUAGACAAGGGGUUCCGGAAGCUGGGGCCUCAGCACAGGGUUAUCCUUGCAAGCAGUCACUUAAACAAUAUUCUCAGCUCCACAGAGACCAGAAAUCCCUUUCUGUAGAUGAAGUUGACUCUGUGCUGCCAGACCCUUCACUGCUCACCCCAUUCCAGUGGUACCAUUACCAUCACUUGUUUGGUGCUGUUUCUGCUGAAUUAUUUGGAGCCCACCUUCCUGCUUUAGCUUUGAAUUCUCACCAGAGAGAACCAUGCCAGGGCCGAUUUGGAUAACGGGAUCAUUAGCAACCAAACAGAUGAUGCCUCUCUCUCUCUCUCUAACAGAGACUCGCUCAGCUGCAGAGAGCCCUUCAAUUCCAGCAGAGAGGGCAGACUGUCAUCUGAGCUCGGCCCAUCCUGCUGUCUGCACUCUCCAGAGAGUGUGCUUCAUCCUGAUAAACAGGCUGUGAGCCGAGCACGUGACUGGACGUGACUGAACUUCUUAAGGUAAACGGAAGACACAGAGGUGCUCCUCCCACACUGGUACAGCAGAAUUAGUUAGGCAGGACCAUCCUUUCAAUGGGGAUGAUGCUUUUCCAAAAGACAGGCUUUCAGACUGACUGUCUGAAGUGAGAUAGAGGAUACUUAUUUUUAUCAUUGUGUAGCACGAGGCCUUUCAGGUUGCCUUGGCUGUUGUCAUUUAUCCGCCAGGCACCUCUCUUGGGAUUCAGUAUCAUCUAGAAGCUGUCUCCUGAAUAAUAGGCUACCUGCUAGGAACUGCAGAUAUUGCUAGAUACUGUCUGCUGGUUACUUCCUCACAGCUCUGACCACAUGUCAGCCUAUCCCAGCUUCCUCAAGAUCUCAGCAUGAUAAAUCAAGAAAGGCCUUGAAGUCUGGACCCUUCCAGUAACUGCUAGAAGUUCCACUGAGGGGGUUACUACCCCACCUAAGGAACUACUCUGGGCUGCCAGCUCCCCUUCAGUGUCUCAGUGGUCUUCAGAAGAAGGUGUG